rnacentral:rRNA from 1 species
GGCUCAUUAAAUCAGUUAUCGUUUAUUUGAUAGUGCCUGUCCUACUUGGAUAACCGUGGUAAUUCUAGAGCUAAUACAUGCUAAAAAUCCCGACUUCGGAAGGGAUGCAUUUAUUGGAUACAGAACCAACGCCCUUCGGGGCUUCCUGGUGAAUCACAAUAACUCCGCGGAUCGCACGGCCUUGUGCCGGCGAUGGUUCAUUCAAAUUUCUGCCCUAUCAACUUUCGACGGCUGGGUCUUGGCCAGCCGUGGUGACAACGGGUAACGGAGGGUUAGGGCUUGACCCCGGAGAAGGAGCCUGAGAGACGGCUACUACAUCCAAGGAAGGCAGCAGGCGCGCAAAUUACCCAAUCCCGACUCGGGGAGGUAGUGACAAUAAAUACUGAUCCAGGGCUCUUUUGGGUCUUGGAAUUGGAAUGAGUACAAUUUAAAUCCCUUAACGAGGAACAAUUGGAGGGCAAGUCUGGUGCCAGCAGCCGCGGUAAUUCCAGCUCCAAUAGCGUAUAUUAAAGUUGUUGAGGUUAAAAAGCUCGUAGUUGAACCUUGGCCCUGGCUGGCCGGUCCGCCUCACCGCGAGCACUGGUCCGGCCGGGGCUUUCCCUCUGGGGACCCUCAUGCCCUUCACUGGGUGUGCUGGAGAACCAGGACUUUUACUGUGAACAAAUCAGAUCGCUCAAAGAAGGCUCUCGCUCGAAUGCUUCAGCAUGGAAUAAUAAAAUAGGACGUGCGGUUCUAUUUUGUUGGUUUCUAGGACCGCCGUAAUGAUUAAUAGGGACAGUCGGGGGUGUCAGUAUUCAAUCGUCAGAGGUGAAAUUCUUGGAUCGAUUGAAGACUAACUACUGCGAAAGCAUUCACCAAGGAUGUUUUCAUUAAUCAGGAACGAAAGUUAGGGGAUCGAAGACGAUCAGAUACCGUCGUAGUCUUAACCAUAAACUAUGCCGAUUAGGGAUCGGACGAUGUUAUUUUUUGACUCGUUCGGCACCUUACGAUAAAUCAAAAU